ACCUGUAACACAGUUGAGCAUGAAGUGCCAGUCUCGUCUCGGGCGCCUGCUUAUAUACCCGUGUCCCCACCACUUCGAGCGUCCCCACCAGUGCGCGCUUGUACUACUAGCGCCGUGGUGAUGUACAAACUAUUUCAAGCAUAUUUUCGGUAACUCGUACCACGAGUCGAUAAUGCAGAAAGUGAAAUUACCUAUAGUUGUGUCAAAUUUCAAAAUAAAGAAUUUGUUGGUAAAGCAGUUUUGUUUUGUUUACGAUAAUCUGUGCAGAAUGGAAUAUACAAACGUGUUGUAUAAUUAAUUAAGAUAAGUAUUGUUUUUUAAUGAAUAAAUAAAUAAGUAAAUAAAUAGUUUAAUUAUUUUAAUGCGAAUUAAUUUUUUUUUCAGGUUUAAAUUAUAGGUGCAAAAUAUGACAGUAAGAAGAAGAAGAAAAUUAAAUUGUGCAUUGAGGUUAAAAAUUCCAACCAUACGUCAAGUCAUAAUAAAUUUGACACAUACCAUAAGGGAACGAGCGACACCAGUUCGGAAAAUUAAUUAGGAUAAAUAUUGUCUUGGAAUUUUAUUUUGAGGUUCAAGUAUUUAACGAUGGGAAUUUGUAACUGACAAGAGUGCGCAAUUAAUCAAUGUCGGAAGAUUGAGAAAUAAAGAUGUCUUCAAAUUUACGUUCUCACAUUAAUUUACAUAGUGAAUGAAAAAUUAGAAAAGAAUUGGAUAAUAAUUUUUGUCUCAUUGAAUCGUGGGGGAAAAGAAAUGAGAAGUUGGAUUCUUCUUUUGUUUCUUUUAUUCGUAGAAAAAUAUGAUUAAAAGUCAAUUUUUUCAAACCGUGUGAUAAGGAUGUGGUGGAGAAAAGGAUUUCUUUUAUAUACUUUGAAGAGUAAAAAGGCUUGCUGAAAGAGAAACGUGCGCAGUUAAUAUUAAUUCUUCGUAAUGGAAAACAAGCAAUAAACAUGCAAUAAAAUUAAAAAUUCAUUUUCAUUUUGAAUAUUUUUUUAUUUUUUUUUUCUUUAUCUCUCUGGUGUUUUUAGUUCAAGUUACCUUCUCUUUUUUUUUUUUUGUCUUUCGAAUGCAUUUCGAAUUUUUCAUAUUAAGUUAAUUUUAUUUUUCAAUUACUUAAAGAACAUUUUGUGCGUGAUUAUUUUUUGAGAAUAAAAAUUGUUUAUGUUUCGUGUUUAGAAGAAUAUAAACAUUUUGUUUAUUAUUCAAUUAUACAAAUCACAUAUAAAGCUUCUUUUAUUAAUUUUUUUCUCGAUUUUCUCAUAUAUCAACGUUAAAAAUCGCUCAAAUCGGCUUCAUUACUAGAAUCCAGUGGUGGAAUUGGCGGUGGUACAUUUUCAAAUUCCGGAGCAAUCUACAAUAUAGAAAUCUGAUAGAAAUGUAUUAGAAUACAAUGAAAAUGAAAAAAAUUAUUUAACAAAUAAUUACCUGAAUAAAAUUAUUCAAAUUCG